UGGGGAAUAUUGCACAAUGGGCGAAAGCCUGAUGCAGCAACGCCGCGUGAGUGAUGAAGGUCUUCGGAUUGUAAAGCUCUGUCUUUUGGGACGAUAAUGACGGUACCAAAGGAGGAAGCCACGGCUAACUACGUGCCAGCAGCCGCGGUAAUACGUAGGUGGCGAGCGUUGUCCGGAUUUACUGGGCGUAAAGGGUGCGUAGGCGGAUGUUUAA
rnacentral:rRNA from 1 species